UGGCGGACGGGUGAGUAACGCGUGGGUAACCUGCCCUGUACAGGGGGACAACAGUUAGAAAUGACUGCUAAUACCGCAUAAGCGCACAGGACCGCAUGGUCCGGUGUGAAAAACUCCGGUGGUACAGGAUGGACCCGCGUCUGAUUAGGUAGUUGGCGGGGUAACGGCCCACCAAGCCGACGAUCGGUAGCCGGCCUGAGAGGGCGGACGGCCACAUUGGGACUGAGACACGGCCCAAACUCCUACGGGAGGCAGCAG
rnacentral:rRNA from 1 species